UCAGCCUUGUACCCUAUGCACAUAAGGAUAUCUGCUGGGAACAGCCAAAGUGUGACCCAACUCUGGCCAAAGUGACAACGUUGGAAAACCAGGAACUCAAGGUUAUGGCUGUUUGUGUAAGUUCAGGGCCAGCCCUGUCUCAGAAGUGGCACAGUGAGGCAAGACAAGGCAGAAAGGCACAGCCUCACCUGGCACAGCCUUUUUUCCUUUACUCUGUUCCUUUCCCCUUUUCUUUUCUCUUUAAGUGAUUCACUUAUUUAUGUGUGUGAAUACACUGUGGCUGUCUUCAGACACCAGAAGGGGGCAUCGGAUCCACUUACAGAUGGAUGAGCCACCAUGUGGUUGCUAGGAAUUGAACUCAGGACCCCCUGGUAGAACAGCCAGUGCUCUUAACAGCUGAGCCAUCUCUCCAGCCCUCCCUACUUUCUGGAGUGGAGGAUGCUGGAUGCGGUAGCCAUCUCACCACCAAUGGCCCAAAGCUCCAAGUUAGUAGGGCUGAUGAGAAAAAUGGAAGACGCCUGGAUCCCUGGAGGCAUCGUGGAACCACCGUGGUUGUUCUGGGAUGUCUAUUUCUAGAUGUUUUAGGUGUGAGAGUCAAACGUAGUUUUAGCUGGACCAGCACCAGAUGUACAGUGGGUUCAAAC
rnacentral:lncRNA from 1 species